rnacentral:rRNA from 1 species
UGGUGGUGUGGGCUCGGACGGUUACUCGUAAAGAACAAAAGGAAGGAAGGAAGGGGCGCGCAGAGGUCCGACGUGGCGACGUCGACGUCGAGGGUACCUCGAGCGCCACUCUCGGCGCCGUCGAAGGACGAGGAGGAUGGACAGCGUGGUAGGGGGCGCGCGGGAGCAGCGGCCGGCGGAUCCGGCGUCGAGGCCGGACGGCGACGGCCGAGCGGCGCACCGGCAUCGGCGCCGUCGAUAGCGGGAGUUGGGCCUCUGGUUUUGGCUCGUCUUACUGUGAAGUCUUUGACUCCACAAGCGAACGGGACAAACGAUACUUGGCGACUAUUCCUUUCCCGGCGGUCCGUACUUGGACGGUCGCUAAAUGUCCAGGCCUAAGUUCACAUGUUUUACGUUGUUCAGUAAGUGGUCAUUUCUACAGAAGAACCUAGAGUGACAGUGGAGUCCUUACUUUCUUAUGUCACUUGAGUUCGGACGAUCUUGGCUCGACAAGUCCUCGGGCGAGCAGAGGAAAGAAAUGCUCUCUCCAACCGCAGUCUUGAAGUUAGCCUCACCGAAGGGACCGGCGCUGCUUCUCCUUGGAGCGUGAACAUUCCCGACUAUAAAGCUCCGAGGGAAAACGAAGUACAAGUUAACUACGGUAAGUACGACCUCGGCGAUAUGUGACAACCGGUAGGGGUAGUUUACGCUAUCGACUUUAGUCGGCACACGACUUCGGGCCGCCACAUAAGCAUCGCUGUUGGAAGAAUAGGUGGGGGUGUUUGUCGCCGGACAAGAGAUAGCUACGUGAUUUCGGUGACUCUGUCUAACAACCCGGUCACUUGUCGUCGAUGUUGAAGAAGUACCUUCCCCUCGACCUUCUGGACACGUCUAGGACACCGGACCACUUGAUGUCGUCGUUCCAAGUCUCCAGUAAGUAGUACAAGAGGCCCGUUUUCGGCAUCGACUAGUAUCGGUCUGAAAGAAAGAUAUCGGUCAGUGCCACAUAUAUAUCGACAAGAAAGAAAAAUGCCCGUAUAUAUAUCGACACUGUUAAUUUAGUCCACCACUCUUACAUUGAGUGUGCGUGUAAUCCGUUGACUUGGUUUUACGUACCAGAGACUGAGACUAC